UUCUCCUUUUCUUUUCAAAUCCGGACUGUCAGUGCUAACUUACAACCGACUACCAAUGCUUAGUGGUUUUAGACACUGGGCACGUUCUUUUUAAACUCUUUCCGCCCUGUGGGCACUAGGAGUGCCUCUUUUUGCAAGCCCAUUAUGGGUUCGGCCAGGCCCACAAUGGGGCUGCCGGGAGGUGAGGGACGGGGCCUGACAUAUCCGAAGGGACCACCUCCCGAAAAAUUCCUGGGGAUUUUUCGACCCGUUCGGAUUUGAGCCCGGGUCCCCCAGAGAGGUUGGCUUUGACCGUUCGGCCAUCCGGCCGCGGACACUGGGCAAUGGUGAGCGAGUGUUGUCGGUUCGGUGAUUGUGGGGUAUUUGAAGACGCUCUUUGUUUUGAAAGAAAAAUUUAUUCUGACGACUUUUCACGACAAGAAUAAUUUUUAAAAUGAACAAAAGAAAUCGCCCAGAAAUAGACGAACACAAGUUGUUAAUUGUAACAACGGUAAAAGCAGUUUGGACAGUCAUCCGUUUCUCUUCGGCAGUUCUCGUAAGCGCCUUUAAAAUUUGUUUUUGUAAUUACUGUAUUUUGUAUUUUGUCGAUUGCGUUGUACCAAACAUUUCGUGUUAUCCGAUUAUAUUCGGCUCGAUUACCUUGGAUAAUCCUGUCUCUACUGUGCGUCGAGAGAAGACACGAUUUAUUUUUACUUUCCCAGCCGUUAUAUUGGAUGACCAUGAUUAAAGUACAGGCGUUUCGAGCUCGAUUGUACCAAAUCUGUUCGACCAAAAACCUCGACCAAAGUCGGUGAACGUAUUAUUCAGACCGUGGAAUUUCGACUUUGGUAAUAAAAGUUUUAUUUCAAAUUUUUGCCACUAGGCGGAAAAUGGGGCUAUACGCGGAACUAGUAUGCAUAUUCGUACUCACGAAUACCAAAUUAUACAAAUUCCAGUCAACUGACAUUAUUAAAUUCGCUUAUCAAUAAGACCGACUUGACGUUGGAGUUAUGGUUACUUAAAGGGCUUGGUUUACCAUGCACACGAUGGAGAGUUCGGCGAAUUUUAAUCAUCGAUUAUUUAUCAGAUGUUGUUAAGACCCACGAAAACACUGCGGAAGUUAUCACAAGAGGACAAACAUGAGUUAAGGAAAAGCUUUACAGUAAAAACUAAAGUUCCUUCCUUACAAAGUGACGUUUGUGCAGGUGUGAAAACUUGCAGAUUAUGAGAAAAGGUGGACAUAUUGCGAGCGGUUCCAAGUUAGAACAUGGAGAAAUUGAGGUGCUCGACAGGACUUUCUUUACGGACGAGGCUUGCUUUACGUUAUCAAUUCACAUAAUCCUAUGCACCCACACGGAGUGUACGAGACGCCGUUGCACAAGGCCACGUGUAGUUUUCCGGAUUUUCUCCAGAGUUGUAAUACCUAUGUGCCAGUUUUCUAUGGCUCACCCGGGAGGCAUCCUCCCUGUCAGAUCGCCCACACGUCGCAUUGCCUUAUAUAAAUAAACCAAACCAAACCCUACUUUCAACAAGACGGUGCAACUUCUCACGCAGCUAGGAGUUCAAUAAUACUAUUGCAUCACACCUUCGGGAAGAAGAUAAUUUCGAAAGGAGUUAGGCUACUACGAUUUCCAGGUGUGGCAACACCAGACUUCUUCUGUGGAGCAGCAAUAGGAUUUGUGUUAAAGAAACAAGUUCCAAAUCUUGCACGGACAGAAAAAAGUCACGUGUCUCUUCACUACUCCUCAUUAUUAAGCAUAUUUUAAUUAAUCCAGCUUAAAACAACAGGAGGAGUCUGAUUGUGUCUAGAAAACGGAGGACAUCUCGGCACCUCAGGUAAUAAAGUCAAAGAAGAAUUUCCUGCGAAUCCGAGGGGACAUGACGAAAGCAAAUAUACAGAGCGUCAAACUGAAGUUUAUUAAAAUCCGUGGCGACUGUUUCGACGCGUGGAUUGUUUAUGACGUCAUUACUUCGUUUCCGGAAGUCUCUGCCAACGUGGAGCUACUUUACGAUUACACUGUAUAAUAAGUUAUGAAUUAAUAUUUAUUAAUUAUAAUAUUAUUGAUGCUUCUUUAAUAUUAGAUAACAGUAUAAAAUAUGAAAUUGUGAAACCUGGAUUAUGUGAUUUUUCAGACAACAUCGGAGGCCAGGAACUAACCGAGGCAGGGACCAGCGGCCUCACCCCGUCCUCACCAACGUCAGCAACAGACUAGACGGCGUCGCCUCUUUCGAAGAUUUAAUUUUUUAAGACGUUGCUUUAAAACACCUCUAAGAUCGACGUCGACCAUCGUCAAACGUUUGACAAAAAACAAAGACGAAACCAACUAUUCUGGGCAGAAACUCUAUCGGUCGUUUAUUCGUCCCAAUUAUUUACAUAAAGGAAAAAAAGAUUAAUGAAAAUACGGGCAAAGUUAAAGACGAGUGUCUUGGUCGAUUAGAUUACGAUAUAAUAAACGAAUUGAAAGAUCAUUCUGCCGAAAACUUCUUAAAAGGUAUGUUUUCAUUUUAUAUUUAUAUGAUAAUAGAUAUCUCAUCACCUGGAACUCAGUAAAACUAUAUUUUAACAUUAAAAACAGGCAUUCUUACAUUAGUUAUAAAAAAAAACAACGUUAAAAUCCUAAUAUAUAACGACACAAGUUAAUCAAAUCUGAAUAAUAUAUAUGACAAAUUAUAGGGAACGUUCGCACAUUUUUGCAUAGUAAAUCUUUCUUUCACUGUCACAAGCAAAGGUGGCCAAGACCAAGUUGUACACAGCUGCUUCUUAAUGCUGUCUUUAUGUUCCUCGAUUCUAGUGUUCAAAGAUCUAUACGAUCUAAGCCUUUCUCAAACUCUUUCGUAAUGCCUUUGCGUCGUAUGAGACAUCGAAGCCGUCCAAAAAUCACCGCUACACCGAAAAUUCUUAACACAUCGAGCCUUUUUAUAGCGUGAGGUAGUGAUUCUAAGGCAUUCUGGAGGCUUUAUCUGGCCUACUGUCAUUUCACCAGGCCCGCAAUUAUAAUUUGUAAGAAGCCACGUCACUGUAGUGUCGAGUGGAGAAACAACCCAAUGCCAGUAGUUGGUCGAGGGUUGGUCGAGCUAGACACGUGGAAUUUACCACGUUUUCUUCACCUAAAUAGCGACCAGCUUCCUAUAGAAGAAAGUCCGGAGGCACAUGGCCGAAGUACCCCUCCCCGUGUAAACGUUUACCCACGUAAAUUGCCUUCUUCCGUCUUACAAUCCAAUUUUAAAAGUAUCAAUAAGUAUAAAAAUUUAAUUUUUUCUAAUUGGAUUUAUCGAACUAAAUACAAAAGCAGAAUUUUUUAAUAUUCUUACAAUAAAUUUAUAUCACAUUUUAAAGGAAUUAUAGGUAUUCAAAAGAUGAAAAUAAACAAAUUGCGAUUAUAAUAAAGGAGACACGAGGAUAAACAAGCGAUUCUCCAAUGCGACUCCGACACGUGUUAAGUAAUACAUCAGUGUCGAGCCGGAGAGUUUGAACUUUGACACUAUCGCUAAUAUAUACAAUAUGACUACUUAAACCGAGUCGAGAAAAGAGGACGUUUGACAAACAGAAAACAUCGCGUUCCAUCGUUAACUUCUAAACUGUCUAAAGAAAGGAAAUAACAAGCUAAAAUACGAGCGCAGGUCUCAUACUUCCAUCAACGUCUACCGGUGAAAGUCCAGAGAUGGUGUCGGGUUAACUCUCUAACACAGACCUUUCACGUGACCCGAACCGAUCUUAUUUCCAAAUAGUAACAAGGGAACGAACCAAUCAGAAAACAACGAGAGGGAGUAAGAACCAAUCGGAAAAAAAAAUUCGUAAUGAUAUCUUCUAAAUAUCCAGAACAUCAAUGUCAAACAACAGAUUCUUUCUAAUUUCUGCCGACUAAACGAGCAGUGUCCUUCUGAUAGACUGAUACGACAUUCAUAUGACGCAAGUCGAUCUGUCACUUCAUCCUCACCGUCCACUGAACACUGUGACUUUUCGUCCACCAGCCGAAUUUACGUUGCCACUGCCCGGGUCGAAGUUAUUGCACAAUAACUUCGACCCGGAGGUGACUCUCCUUUAUUCCCCAACCGAAAGCCUCGGAAAUCAAUCUAGAAGUCGACCGACAUCGUCCUGCAUCGAGUCUCUUCACUCUCCGGCCCCCCUGGGCCUCGGAAAUCAAUCUAGAAGUCGAC